rnacentral:snRNA from 1 species
CCUUGGAACUUGAAACAAUACAGAGAAGAUUAGCAAGGCCCCUGCUCAAGAAUGACAUGCAAAUUUGUGAAGUGUUCCAUAUUUUA